AGAAUCAACGCUGGCGGCGUGCCUAACACAUGCAAGUCGAACGCGAAAGUCCCGCAAGGGAUAAGUAGAGUGGCAAACGGGUGAGUAACACGUGGGUGACCUGCCUUCGAGUGGGGGAUAACGUCCCGAAAGGGUCGCUAAUACCGCAUGACAUCCUGCUUUUUAAGAGGCGGAGAUCAAAGCUGGGGAUCGCAAGACCUGGCGCUUGAAGAGGGGCCCGCGCCUGAUUAGCUAGUUGGUGGGGUAAUGGCUCACCAAGGCAUCGAUCAGUA
rnacentral:rRNA from 1 species